UGCAGUCGUACGGGAAUUUUUAAUUCAAGUGGCGGACGGGUGAGUAACACGUAAGAAUUUGCCUUUAGGAGGGGGACAACAACUGGAAACGGUUGCUAAUACCCCAUAUGCUUUCGAGUGAAAUGGAUUUUUCCGCCUAAAGAGAAGCUUGCGGCUGAUUAGCUUGUUGGUGAGGUAAUGGCUCACCAAGGCGACGAUCAGUAUCUGGUUUGAGAGGAUGAUCAGACACACUGGAACUGAGACACGGUCCAGACUCCUACGGGAGGCAGCAGUGGGGAAUUUUCCGCAAUGGGCGAAAGCCUGACGGAGCAAUCUCGCGUGAGGGAUGACGGCCUAUGGGUUGUAAACCUCUUUUUUCAGGGAGGAACAAAAUGACGUGUACCUGAAGAAUAAGCAUCGGCUAACUCCGUGCCAGGAGCCGCGGUAAGACGGAGGAUGCAAGUGUUAUCCGGAAUCACUGGGCGUAAAGCGUCUGUAGGUGGUUUGAUAAGUCAACUGUUAAAUCUUGAAGCUCAACUUCAAAAUCGCAGUCGAAACUAUUAGACUGGAGUAUAGUAGGGGUAAAGGGAAUUUCCAGUGGAGCGGUGAAAUGCGUAGAUAUUGGAAAGAACACCGAUGGCGAAGGCACUUUACUGGGCUAUUACUGACACUCAGAGACGAAAGCUAGGGUAGCAAAUGGGAUUAGAUAUCCCAGUAGUCC
rnacentral:rRNA from 1 species